rnacentral:tRNA from 1 species
GUAAAAAUAGUAUAUAUAUUUUAAUUAUUUAUAUUUGAAAAAUAUAAGAUAAACGGUUAGUUUUUUUUACA